AGCUCCGCAGGUGUAUAUCUAUGCUGCUGCGGUUAAAAAGCUCGUAGUUGGAUCUGCGCACUCAGAACUGGUAGGCUCACUGAGUCCUGACUGGUAUCUGGUGCUUUAUUUGCUGGUUUUCCCUUGAUGCUCUUAACCGGGUGUCUUGGGUGGCUAGCGCUUUUACUUUGAAAAAAUUAGAGUGCUCAAUACAGGCGAACAGCCUUGAAUAGUGGUGCAUGGAAUAAUAGAAUAGGAUCUUGGUUCUAUUUUGUUGGUUUUCGGAACACAAGAUAAUGAUUAAGAGGGACAGACGGGGGCAUUCGUAUUGCGGCGUUAGAGGUGAAAUUCUUGGAUCGUCGCAAGACGGACGACUGCGAAAGCAUUUGCCAAGAAUGUUUUCAUUAAUCAAGAACGAAAG
rnacentral:rRNA from 1 species